ACCAUGCAAGUCGAGCGGAACGAGUUGUCUGAACCUUCGGGGAACGAUAACGGCGUCGAGCGGCGGACGGGUGAGUAAUGCCUGGGAAAUUGCCCUGAUGUGGGGGAUAACCAUUGGAAACGAUGGCUAAUACCGCAUAAUAGCUUCGGCUCAAAGAGGGGGACCUUCGGGCCUCUCGCGUCAGGAUAUGCCCAGGUGGGAUUAGCUAGUUGGUGAGGUAAUGGCUCACCAAGGCGACGAUCCCUAGCUGGUCUGAGAGGAUGAUCAGCCACACUGGAACUGAGACACGGUCCAGACUCCUACGGGAGGCAGCAGUGGGGAAUAUUGCACAAUGGGCGCAAGCCUGAUGCAGCCAUGCCGCGUGUAUGAAGAAGGCCUUCGGGUUGUAAAGUACUUUCAGCAGUGAGGAAGGUGGAAGUGUUAAUAGCGCAUUCAUUUGACGUUAGCUGCAGAAGAAGCACCGGCUAACUCCGUGCCAGCCGC
rnacentral:rRNA from 1 species